CAGGAGGGAGCUGAGAAGAGAGGAUCUGAUAGGAGGAGGAUAAAGCUGCUCCCAGCCCUUGAUGUGCCUGCAAGGAGGUGCAAAGGUAACAGAUGGUCAUUGUGACGUGAACGUUAUUCCAAUAUCCACAGAGGAGGAAAAAGGACCAGCGUGAUCCAAACUUACAGGCUGUGCUUCAAGUGAUUUCCACCAGCCAGGAUUUGAGCUCACUGCUGCCAAAUCCCAAACCUGCUUAGGACAGAGCAGUGGCAGUGUCCAGAGGUGAGUUUUAGCCAUUCCUAGCAUGCAGUUCGGUGUAGGACUGGUGCCUCAGGGAAGGUGCUCUCAGUCCAGCCAGCAGCGUGGGCAGGGCUGAGUGGCAGGCAGCUUCCCCUAUAGAUUGUAAUGGUUUCAUUUUCACUGGGUUUCAGCACUUGGCAUUUUGGGCUGAA